rnacentral:rRNA from 1 species
UCAAGCUGUAAAGGGCGCAAGGGGAAUGCCUUGGCACUGAGAGCCGACGAAGGACGCGACAAGCUGCGAUAAGCUACGGGGAGCCGCAAAUGGGCUUUGAUCCGUGGAUUUCCGAAUGGGGAAACCCGGCAGAGCAAUACUCUGUCAACAUGUACUGAAUACAUAGGUACAUGUGGGGAACCGCCUGAACUGAAACAUCUAAGUAGGGCGAGGAAGAGAAAUCAACCGAGAUUCCGCUAGUAGUGGCGAGCGAACGCGGAAGAGGCCAAACCGGAGGUAGCAAUAUUUCCGGGGUUAGGACUGUAACAUGUAACUUUAAUCUUUAACUGAAUGCUUUGGGAAGAGCAGCGAUACAGGGUGACAGCCCCGUAAGUGAAAAGGAUUGAGUGCUAGCAGUAUCCAGAGUACCAGCGGACACGUGAAACCCGCUGGGAAGAUGGGGGGACCAUCCUCCAAGCCUAAAUACUACUCAGUGACCGAUAGUGGAGCAGUACCGUGAGGGAAAGGUGAAAAGUACCCCGGGAGGGGAGUGAAAAAGAACCUGAAACCUUGUGCCUACAAGCACCGAGAGUCCGUUAAUGGAUGAUCGGGUACUUUUUGUAGAACGGUCCGGCGAGUUAAUAUUUGCAGCGAGGUUAAGGAACUGGAGUUCUGGAGCCGCAGCGAGAGCGAGUCUGAAAAGGGCGUAUGAAGUUGCAGGUAUUAGACCCGAAACCGGGUGACCUAUCCAUGAGCAGGCUGAAGCGGUGGUAAGACACCGUGGAGGGCCGCACCCACGUCUGUUGAAAAAGCCGGGGAUGACUUGUGGAUAGCGGAGAAAUUCCAAUCGAACUCGGAGAUAGCUGGUUCUCCCCGAAAUAGCUUUAGGGCUAGCGUUAUUUUAGAUUACCGGAGGUAAAGCACUGAAUGGUCUAGGGGCCGCGAGGUUACCAAAGCCUAUCAAACUCUGAAUGCCGGAUAAUUGAUGAAUAGCAGUCAGACUGUGUGAGAUAAGUCUCAUAGUCAAAAGGGAAACAGCCCAGAUCUACAGCUAAGGUCCCAAAUGAACACUAAGUGGAAAAUGAUGUGAAACUGCGAAGACAACCAGGAUGUUGGCUUAGAAGCAGCCACUCAUUCAAAGAGUGCGUAAUAGCUCACUGGUCGAGUGGUUUUGCGCAGAAAAUGUAACGGGGCUAAGUGUUCAACCGAAGCUUAGGCAUUGCAGUAAUGCAUUGGGUAGGGGAGCGUCGUAUGCGGGGUGAAGUCAGAGCGGAAGCACUGGUGGACUGCAUACGAGUGAGAAUGCCGGAAUAAGUAGCGAGAAUUAUGUGAGAAUCAUAAUGGCCGAAAAUCUAAGGUUUCUUGGGGAAGGUUCGUCCGCCCAAGGUUAGUCGGGAGCUAAGCUCAGGCCGAAAGGCGUAGGCGAUGCACAUACGGUAGAAAUUCCGUAACCACCGAACAUUUAAGCUAGAGGGACGCUUUCUUUAAGGUUAUCCCGGGCGAUGGUUGCCCCGGGCGUAAGGGACCGAAAUAUAGUAGGGAAGUAACUGGCGAGAGAGACGAGAAAAGCUCUAGUGUAUACUAAGGUGCCCGUACCGCAAACCGACACAGGUAGAUGGGAUGAGUAUUCUAAGGCCAACGGGAGAAGGGUUGUUAAGGAACUCGGCAAAUUGGCCCCGUAACUUCGGGAUAAGGGGCGCCUGCGAGAGCAGGCCGCAGUGAAAAGGCCCAAGCGACUGUUUAGCAAAAACACAGCUCUCUGCUAAAUCGAAAGAUGACGUAUAGGGGGUGACGCCUGCCCGGUGCUGGAAGGUUAAGGGGAGUGCUUAGCGCAAGCGAAGGUGCGAACUUAAGCCCCAGUAAACGGCGGCCGUAACUAUAACGGUCCUAAGGUAGCGAAAUUCCUUGUCAGGUAAG